UACGGAGGGUGCGAGCGUUGUCCGGAAUCACUGGGCGUAAAGGGCGCGUAGGCGGCUGGGGAAGUCGGCGGGGAAAGCCCGGAGCUCAACUCCGGGUCGGCCGUCGAGACUCCUCGGCUCGAGCUCACUAGAGGCAGAUGGAAUUCCGGGUGUAGCGGUGGAAUGCGUAGAGAUCCGGAAGGAACACCAGUGGCGAAAGCGGCUUCCUGGUCCGACACCGACGUUCAGGCACGAAAGCGUGGGGAGCAAACAGG
rnacentral:rRNA from 1 species